AGACGUAGGGGGCGAGCGUUGUCCGGAAUUACUGGGCGUAAAGAGCACGUAGGCGGGUGCUUAAGUCAGGUGUGAAAGACCGCAGCUUAACUGCGGGGUUGCACUUGAAACUGGGCAUCUUGAGGGCAGGAGAGGACAGUAGAAUUCCUGGUGUAGCGGUGAAAUGCGUAGAAAUCAGGAGGAAUACCAGUGGCGAAGGCGACUGUCUGGACUGACCCUGACGCUGAGGUGCGAAAGCGUGGGUAGCAAACAGGAUUAGAUACCCUGGUAGUCCACGCUGUAAACGAUGGAUACUAGGUGUAGGAGGUAUCGACCCCUUCUGUGCCGCAGCUAACGCAAUAAGUAUCCCGCCUGGGGAGUACGGUCGCAAGGCUGAA
rnacentral:rRNA from 1 species